rnacentral:rRNA from 1 species
GGUCGGUAACACCCGAAGCCGGUGGCCUAACCCCUUGUGGGAGGGAGCCGUCGAAGGUGGGAUCGGCGAUUGGGACGAAGUCGUAACAAGGUAGCCGUACCGGAAGGUGCGGCUGGAUCACCUCCUUUCUAAGGAG